ACAACUGAUAGAGAUGUAUUAC
rnacentral:siRNA from 1 species